GGCCGAUUAGCUAGUUGGUAGGGUAAAAGCCUACCAAGGCUCCGAUCGGUAGCCGGCCUGAGAGGGCACACGGCCACACUGGCACUGAAACACGGGCCAGACUCCUACGGGAGGCAGCAGUGGGGAAUCUUGCACAAUGGGGGCAACCCUGAUGCAGCGACGCCGCGUGAGCGAUGAAGCCCUUCGGGGUGUAAAGCUCUUUCGGCAGGGAAGAUUAUGACGGUACCUGCAGAAGCAGCUGCGGCUAACUACGUGCCAGCAGCCGCGGUAAUACGUAGGCAGCAAGCGUUGUUCGGAGUUACUGGGCGUAAAGGGUGUGUAGGCGGUUCUCUAAGUCUGGUGUGAAAUCUCCCGGCUCAACUGGGAGGGUGCGCCGAAAACUGGAGGGCUAGAGUGUGGGAUGGGAGAGUGGAAUUCCUGGUGUAGCGGUGAAAUGCGUAGAUAUCAGGAGGAACACCUGUGGUGUAGACGGCUCUCUGGACCGCAACUGACGCUGAGACACGAAAGCGUGGGUAGCA
rnacentral:rRNA from 1 species